UGAGUCUCAGAGAAGGGACCUAAGUGUGCAG
rnacentral:piRNA from 1 species